UGAGACACGGUCCAGACUCCUACGGGAGGCAGCAGUAGGGAAUCUUCCGCAAUGGGCGAAAGCCUGACGGAGCAACGCCGCGUGAGUGAUGAAGGUCUUCGGAUCGUAAACCUCUGUUAUUAGGGAAGAACAUAUGUGUAAGUAACUGUGCGCAUCUUGACGGUACCUAAUCAGAAAGCCACGGCUAACUACGUGCCAGCAGCCGCGGUAAUACGUAGGUGGCAAGCGUUAUCCGGAAUUAUUGGGCGUAAAGCGCGCGUAGGCGGUUUUUUAAGUCUGAUGUGAAAGCCCACGGCUCAACCGUGGAGGGUCAUUGGAAACUGGAAAACUUGAGUGCAGAAGAGGAAAGUGGAAUUCCAUGUGUAGCGGUGAAAUGCGCAGAGAUAUGGAGGAACACCAGUGGCGAAGGCGACUUUCUGGUCUGUAACUGACGCUGAUGUGCGAAAGCGUGGGGAUCAAACAGGAUUAGAUACCCUGGUAGUCCACGCCGUAAACGAUGAGUGCUAAGUGUUAGGGGGUUUCCGCCCCUUAUGUGCUGCAGCUAACGCAUUAAGCACUCCGCCUGGGGAGUACG
rnacentral:rRNA from 1 species